AGCAACCUAGGUUAUGCUGUACUGUUUGUUUUCAAAACAAGAGGAGAUUUUAGGGUCGGUUGCUG
rnacentral:tRNA from 1 species